CUAACACAACAGUGAUGUUGUGUGAUGGGUAAUGAGAAGUCAGCAGAAGGCAUAGUACUUUGAGGAAGUACAACUCAAAGGAAGGCC
rfam:Vibrio sp. 2756-81 Vn_2756-81_contig2, whole genome shotgun sequence.